rnacentral:rRNA from 1 species
CCGGGUGAGUAAUGUCUGGGAAACUGCCUGAUGGAGGGGGAUAACUACUGGAAACGGUAGCUAAUACCGCAUAACGUCGCAAGACCAAAGAGGGGGACCUUCGGGCCUCUUGCCAUCGGAUGUGCCCAGAUGGGAUUAGCUAGUAGGUGGGGUAACGGCUCACCUAGGCGACGAUCCCUAGCUGGUCUGAGAGGAUGACCAGCCACACUGGAACUGAGACACGGUCCAG